rnacentral:lncRNA from 1 species
UUUAAUGCAUUUUAAAUUUUAUUUUUUUAAUUGAUUAAUUGUGAAUAAAUUAUGUUGAGCCAUUUUUAUUGACUUGUGAAGUUUGACUAUGUGUUUGGGCCUUGAUCAAGAUUGAUUUGACUUUUGUUGGAUUAAAAUCAUUGGAUUUAGGGGAUUGAUGAAAUGUACAUUUCAUAUCCCUAAAUGAAUGAAUGAUUUUAAUUUGAUAAAAUUCCUCCCAUGACCAAUUUGUGUUUGUCUCAUUUCCCCUCCCUCUUUAUCUUCAACCUCAUUCUAUC